rnacentral:misc_RNA from 1 species
GAUGAAGAACGCAGCGAAAUGCGAUAAGUAGUGUGAAUUGCAGAAUUCCGUGAAUCAUCGAAUCUUUGAACGCACAUUGCGCCUUCUGGUAUUCCGGAAGGCAUGCCUGUUCGAGAGUCAUUAACAACCGUUUCGAUCCCUUUCUUUCAGAAAUUACAAAGCGGAAAAGGGUUUGGUUAUGGUGGAGGAGGGAAAGGGAGCGUUUAGCCUGUAAAAAAAGAGGCUGUGUUCCGCCUCCCCCCCAAAAUUGUACAGGCGGUCGUGUGCGCCCACGCAUCGAGGUGUUGUAAAAGCUGCCACGGCACUUUUCACCUGUGCAGUGCGAGAUUGGCCAGCCGGUUUAAAAACCCCUCCAAACAAUCAAAGGUUGACCUCGGAUCAGGUAGGGAUACCCGCUGAACUUAAGCAUAUCAAUAAGCGGAGGA